rnacentral:rRNA from 1 species
AAAUUAUUUCAAUAUUCUUUCACAAUACUAUUUAACUAUUAUUAUAAUAAUUUUUUCUUUAUUAAAUACUAAAACAUUAAAUUCUAUAAUUAUUUUUAAUAAUAUAAAUAAAAAAAAAUUUUUUUUAAUAAAUAAAAUUUAAUCAAUUUAUAUUGAUUUGCACAAAAAUCUUUUCAAUGUAAAUGAAAUACUUUACUAAAUAAGCUUUAAAUUGCAAUCUAGAUACACCUUCCGGUACAUCUACUAUGUUACGACUUAUCUUACCUUAAUAAUAAGAGUGACGGGCGAUGUGUACAUAUUUUAGAGCUAAAAUCAAAUUAUUAAUCUUUAUAAUUUUACUAUCAAAUCCACCUUCAAUAAAAAUUUCAAAUUUAUAUUCAUAUAAAUAAAUUUAUUGUAACCCAUUUUUACUUAAACAUAAGCUACACCUUGAUCUGAUAUAUUUUUUUAUUAAAAAUUAUGAAAAUUAUCUUUCUUAUAAAAUAUUCUAAUAACAACGGUAUAUAAACUGAUAACAAAUUUAAGUAAGGUCCAACGUGGAUUAUCGAUUAUAAAACAGGUUCCUCUGAAUAGACUAAAAUACCGCCAAAUUUUUUAAGUUUCAAGAAUAUAACUA